GACGAACGCUGGCGGCGUGCUUAACACAUGCAAGUCGAACGAAGUGGCGAACGGGUGAGUAACGCGUAAUCAACCUGCCCUUCAGAGGGGGACAACAGUUGGAAACGACUGCUAAUAACGCAUACUGCAGGAGGGGGUGGCGGCUGAUUAGCUAGUUGGGGGGGUAACGGCCAACCAAGGCGAUGAUCAGUAGCCGGCGGUAGAGGAUGAACGGCCACAUGGGUACUGAGAACCGGCCCAGACUCCUACGGGAGGCAGCCGUGGGGAAUCUUCCGAAAUGGACGAAAGUCUGACGGAGCAACGCCGCGUGAGUGAUGACGGCUUUCGGGUUGUAAAGCUAUGUUAAUCGGGACGCGGUACCGGAAUAGAAAGCCACGGCUAACUACGUGCCAGCAGCCGCGGUAAUUC
rnacentral:rRNA from 1 species